rnacentral:rRNA from 1 species
AGAGUUUGGAUCCUGGCUCAGAUUGAACGCUGGCGGCAGGCUUAACACAUGCAAGUCGAGCGGAGAGAGGUAGCUUGCUACUGAUCUUAGCGGCGGACGGGUGAGUAAUGCUUAGGAAUCUGCCUAUUAGUGGGGGACAACACCUCGAAAGGGAUGCUAAUACCGCAUACGUCCUACGGGAGAAAGCAGGGGAUCUUCGGACCUUGCGCUAAUAGAUGAGCCUAAGUCGGAUUAGCUAGUUGGUGGGGUAAAGGCCUACCAAGGCGACGAUCUGUAGCGGGUCUGAGAGGAUGAUCCGCCACACUGGGACUGAGACACGGCCCAGACUCCUACGGGAGGCAGCAGUGGGGAAUAUUGGACAAUGGGGGGAACCCUGAUCCAGCCAUGCCGCGUGUGUGAAGAAGGCCUUAUGGUUGUAAAGCACUUUAAGCGAGGAGGAGGCUACUUUAGUUAAUACCUAGAGAUAGUGGACGUUACUCGCAGAAUAAGCACCGGCUAACUCUGUGCCAGCAGCCGCGGUAAUACAGAGGGUGCAAGCGUUAAUCGGAUUUACUGGGCGUAAAGCGCGCGUAGGCGGCUAAUUAAGUCAAAUGUGAAAUCCCCGAGCUUAACUUGGGAAUUGCAUUCGAUACUGGUUAGCUAGAGUGUGGGAGAGGAUGGUAGAAUUCCAGGUGUAGCGGUGAAAUGCGUAGAGAUCUGGAGGAAUACCGAUGGCGAAGGCAGCCAUCUGGCCUAACACUGACGCUGAGGUGCGAAAGCAUGGGGAGCAAACAGGAUUAGAUACCCUGGUAGUCCAUGCCGUAAACGAUGUCUACUAGCCGUUGGGGCCUUUGAGGCUUUAGUGGCGCAGCUAACGCGAUAAGUAGACCGCCUGGGGAGUACGGUCGCAAGACUAAAACUCAAAUGAAUUGACGGGGGCCCGCACAAGCGGUGGAGCAUGUGGUUUAAUUCGAUGCAACGCGAAGAACCUUACCUGGCCUUGACAUAGUAAGAACUUUCCAGAGAUGGAUUGGUGCCUUCGGGAACUUACAUACAGGUGCUGCAUGGCUGUCGUCAGCUCGUGUCGUGAGAUGUUGGGUUAAGUCCCGCAACGAGCGCAACCCUUUUCCUUAUUUGCCAGCGAGUAAUGUCGGGAACUUUAAGGAUACUGCCAGUGACAAACUGGAGGAAGGCGGGGACGACGUCAAGUCAUCAUGGCCCUUACGGCCAGGGCUACACACGUGCUACAAUGGUCGGUACAAAGGGUUGCUACACAGCGAUGUGAUGCUAAUCUCAAAAAGCCGAUCGUAGUCCGGAUUGGAGUCUGCAACUCGACUCCAUGAAGUCGGAAUCGCUAGUAAUCGCGGAUCAGAAUGCCGCGGUGAAUACGUUCCCGGGCCUUGUACACACCGCCCGUCACACCAUGGGAGUUUGUUGCACCAGAAGUAGCUAGCCUAACUGCAAAGAGGGCGGUUACCACGGUGUGGCCGAUGACUGGGGUGAAGUCGUAACAAGGUAACC